ACCACAACAAACAUCACCGCCGCCUAAAAUCAGAAAUUUGAGGUCGUGAAUUUGCUGAGUAUGAAGUUCGAAGUUUCUGGGUUGUAAAAUAACAAAUUCAGUAAUUGCUCUGUUUUUUUAAAUAAAUUGUAAAAUAAUAAUUUAUUUGAUGAAUAUAGCCUUGUUCGAUUUAUUGUUUUGGAUUGUAUGCUGAAAUUGGAUUGAUGAAUAAAUUGUAUGCUGAAAUAAAUUUUUUUUU